GCAAGUCAUCACAGAGCAGGCCAGCAAGCAGCUUAGCCCACGCCGUCCUUUCAACUGCCUUAAGGCUCAUACCUUGGGUUCCUGCUUGGCUUCCCUUAAUAGACUGUGACUCAGGAUAUAUAAUCCCAAAUAAACCCUUUCCCCCACCCCCAACUUGCGUUUGGUCGUGUAUCUCAGCAAUAGAAACCAUCCCCAAGCCCUUUGGAGACAUAGCCAGGUGGCGUGAUGUAUGACUCUGCAGUUCCACCUACAUGGGCGGCUGAGGCAGGAGAGCACUUGACUAGAUGAAUUUAAGGCCAUGCUGGACAACACAGCAAAAUCCACCUCUUAAAUAUGAGUAAAACGUCCCUGGGAAAUCAUGGAGGACAGGAGGCUACCUGAGCUACCGCAUUCAAAGAACAGCUGGAUUUGGAAUACAAACUAAGAAAUACAAAAGGAGAUCUGUUUGGUUUGUUUAUUCCUUGGUUGAGAAGUAAACAUAGGUAACCUCACAAAACGGCUACAGUUAACCCUACUAGAAACAAAA